rnacentral:rRNA from 1 species
GACGAACGCUGGCGGCGUGCUUAACACAUGCAAGUCGAACGGAAAGGCCUCUUUCGGGGGGUACUCGAGUGGCGAACGGGUGAGUAACACGUGAGUAACCUGCCCUUGACUCUGGGAUAACUUCAGGAAACUGGGGCUAAUACCGGAUAGGAGCUCCUGCUGCAUGGUGGGGGUUGGAAAGUUUCGGCGGUUGGGGAUGGACUCGCGGCUUAUCAGCUUGUUGGUGGGGUAGUGGCUUACCAAGGCUUUGACGGGUAGCCGGCCUGAGAGGGUGACCGGCCACAUUGGGACUGGGAUACGGCCCAGACUCCUACGGGGGGCAGCAGUGGGGAAUAUUGCACAAUGGGUGGAAGCCUGAGGCAGCAACGCCGUGUGCGGGAUGACGGCCUUCGGGUUGUAAACCGCUUUCGCUCAUGACGAAGCUUUGUGUGACGGUAGUGGGUAAAGAAGCACCGGCUAACUACGUG